rnacentral:rRNA from 1 species
UACGGAGGAUCCAAGCGUUAUCCGGAAUCAUUGGGCUUAAAGGGUCCGUAGGCGGUUUGGUAAGUCAGUGGUGAAAGCCCAUCGCUCAACGGUGGAACGGCCAUUGAUACUGCCAGACUUGAAUUAUUAGGAAGUAACUAGAAUAUGUAGUGUAGCGGUGAAAUGCUUAGAGAUUACAUGGAAUACCAAUUGCGAAGGCAGGUUACUAGUAAUGGAUUGACGCUGAUGGACGAAAGCGUGGGUAGCGAACAGG